rnacentral:rRNA from 1 species
CGCCCUUAGAGUUUGAUCAUGGCUCAGGAUGAACGCUGGCGGCGUGCCUAAUACAUGCAAGUCGAACGCGGAAGCUUGCUUCCGAGUGGCGAACGGGUGAGUAACACGUGGGAAACCUACCUCUUAGCAGGGGAUAACAUUUGGAAACAGAUGCUAAUACCGUAUAAUAACUAGACCGCAUGGUUCUAGUUAAAAGAUGUUCUUAUCACUAAGAGAUGGUCCCGCGGUGUAUUAGCUAGAUGGUGAGGUAACGGCUCACCAUGGCGAUGAUACAUAGCCGAGUUGAGAGACUGAUCGGCCACAUUGGAACUGAGACACGGUCCAAACUCCUACGGGAGGCAGCAGUAGGGAAUCUUCCACAAUGGACGAAAGUCUGAUGGAGCAACGCCGCGUGUGUGAUGAAGGGUUUCGGCUCGUAAAACACUGUUAUAAGAGAAGAAUGUCGGUGAGUACUUUCAUCGAGUGACGGUAUCUUAUCAGAAAGGGACGGCUAAAUACGUGCCAGCAGCAGCGGUAAUACGUAUGUCCCAGGGUUAUCCGGAUUUAUUGGGCGU